AGAAUUAUGUCAUCUGCAAAUAGAAAUAAUUUUACCUCUUCCUUUCUGAUUUUUGAUGUCUUUUACUUCUUUUUCUUAUCUAAUUGCACUUGCUAGUUCUUCCAAUCUAUGUUGAUUAGAAGUGGUAAGUUUGGGAUCCUUGCAUUGUACCAGAUCUUAGCAGACAAGUUUUUAGGUUUUUUUCCAUUGAUGAUAAUGUGAGCUGCAGGUUUCUCAUAAAUGGCCUUUAUUAUGUUGUAUUAGUCCAUUUUUACCCUGCUAUAAGAACUGAGUAAUUUAUAAAGUAAUUACUGAGGCUGAGUAAUUUAUAAAGAAGAGAGGUUUAAUUGACUCACAGUUUCACAUGGCUGGGGAGCCCUCAGGAAACUUAAAAUUAUGGUGGAAGGCAAAGGGGAAGCAAGGCACAUCUUUUGAAGCAGCAGGAGGAGAGGGGAAGUGCCACACUAUUAAACCAUCAGCUUUCAUGAGAACUUACUCACUAUGGUAAGAAUGGCAUGGGGGAAACUGCCCCCAUGCUCCAACCACCUCCCACUAGGUACCUUCCCUGACACGUGGGGAUUACAGUUUGACAUGAGAUUUGGGUAGGGACACAGUGCCAAACCAUGUCAUAUGUUUCAUAUGUUGAGGAAUUUUCCUCUGCUUUUUUUUUUUUUUUUUUAUGCGGAGCCUCACUCUGUCACCAAGCUGGAAUGCAGUGGAGCGAUCUCGGCUCACUGCAACCUCUGCCUCCCGGGUUCAAGUGAUUCUCCUGCCUCAGCCUCCCGAGUAGUUGGGACUAUGGGCACGCACCAUCAUGCCUAGUUAAUUUUUUUUGUAUUUUUAGUAGAGACAGGAUUUCACCAUGUUCGUCAGGAUGGUCUCAAUCUCUUGACCUCGUGAUCCACCCACCUUGGCCUCCCAAAGUGCUAGGAUUACAGGUGUGAGCCACCGUGCCCUGCUCAUUUUUUAUUUUUUUUAAGAUGGGGUUUUACUCUAUCACCCAGACUGAAGUGCAUUGGUGCAAUCAUGGCUCACUGCAGCCCUGACCUCCUGGGCUCAAGUGAUUCUCCUGCCUCAACCUCCUGAGUAACUGGGACUACAGUUAUAGAUUUGUUCACCAUACCCAUACAACUUGCAAGCAGCAAUGUCUUAGGAAACUGUUUAUGGAAACUAUAUCAUGUUCCUGAAAGCACAGGAUGAAGUUCUCUGAAGUUCCCUUAUCUGCCUAAAGUCAUGACCCACCAAAGAGGAAAACAAUUACCUCUGAUCCCUUCCUUGAAUUUUCGUUAACCGAACUCAUAUCAUAUGAAGAAACACUGAAAUAUGUCAGCACACCUGGUUGGAUUUGUCACAAACCAUUGUCUGCUCUGAGGACUCAACAGACUUUGUCCCGGGCCACUGCAUGUUCUUCAAGCCCACUGAAUUCCCCUAAAAAUCAUUUACUACUCUCCUAAAAUCAUCCUCACUUUUCUAUCUUCCUUUACCCUAAGAAGAAGGGUAGAUAACCAUCUGUACCCCAUUGCAUGGUGGGGUAGUUACUUUGUGACUCUCCACACUGGAUAUUAAUAAAUUUGUGUGCCUUCUCUUCUAUUAA